GGCGUUUUCAGUGACACACAUCCUGUUGCUCAAAGUACGUUUUGUUUAGUGUGUCAGCCUCUUUGAGGAGCCCCUUUACUGCAGGAUGUUGCCGAGGAUUUCAUGAAGAUGACUUAUGCUGGGAGACGACUUCAUGGGCUUCAGAUACACUUAAUUUCUUUCUCAUGGACGGACUCAAACAGUGAGUGGAUAAUUUUCAUUCAUGGUCUUAAAAGUGUUUCCAUUGAUCUGCACAACCCUCUGGAUAGAGAAUCCCAGAGGUUCAAACCACCAUCAGAUGGUGAAUGAACAUUCUUCCUGCACCAUACCGGAUUAUCGGGGGUUGGCAACCCGUGGCUCCGGAGCCACAUGCGGCUCUUUUACGUCUGUGCUGCGGCUCCCUGUUGCUUUGGGAAAUAAUUGGUUGACAGCUGGCUGACGUUAUUUUUGGUUUGCUGCUGGCGGCAAAUUUAAGUUUGGCGUUUUUCAUAAAUACAAGAAGGACUCAAAUAGACAUUGAGUAUUUUACUUAAAAAUAACCUUCAACCCAACGUCUUUUUUUCGGAGUUCAAAAUGUUUUUGUUGCAUGCAGAAAUGUAAUUUCGUUUUCUCUGCAGGAGUUCAUCAAUUUCAUAAAUGCAACACAUUAUAGUUUGUUUAUACAUAGCAUAAAGGCAAAAAAAAAAACGUUGUAUGCAGUGUUAUUUCAUUUUAAAUGUCAAAUGGGUUUUGCGGCUCCCAGUGUUUUCAUUUCUGUGGGAAACGGGUCCAAGUGGCUCUUUCAGUGGUAAAGGUUGCUGACCCCUGGUCUAGAUUAUUGAGUUAUUAUUGAUCCUAAUCUAAAUCAGUGCAUGGAAGGCACUGCCGGCGGUGGUGAUGGAGGCGGAUACAAAAGGGUCUUUUAAGAGACCCUUAGAUAGGUACAUGGAGCUUAGAAAAUCAGAGGGCUGUGCACUAGGGAACUUCUAGGCGGUUUCUAGAAUAAGUCGCAUGGUCGGCACAAUAUUGUGGUACUGUGCUGUAGAUUUCUAUGUUCUAUGUUCUAUGUCUAAACUUAAGAAUCAUUUAAUUUUGAUUACUCAGUUGUUGAUCCCUUCAUUGACUGUGUAUGCAGGAAUCAAAUACAGAGAUUUGUACUUUGUGGUAAGCUUUUAAACAAAAUGUGAAUGGAAUCCUACUCAUUCUUCCAUCACAGGCACCGCAUGGACGUACAGCCUAAACAGGCACAGAUCAGAAGCUCUAUUAGAUAAGUGUGUGCAGAAGAGACUCUAGGUUCUCCUCGCAUUGUAGCUAUGAAAUUAGAUUUAUUUGACUAUUGCAAUUUAAUGGUUCCAUAACUAGUUGUUGCUCUGCUAAAGUGACUAGGAAAAUCUUUCCCAUGGUUAAUAUUUUAAGUGUUUUCAAUGUCUUAUCAAUAUGUUUAGUGUAGUAAUCUUCUUUGAUUUUCCCCUUUUUGUUCUGUUGAGUGGUCACAGGAUUAAGAGCUUCAGAUUUCAGAACAUCUUGGAAGAUUUAUCCUGAGCCCAACACAAAAACGGCAUGUCAGUGUCUAUAUUUCAUGCGAGGAGAGUUGGUAUGUCAUCAAAGACUCGAGCAAAUUUCUACAGAUGUAUCAUGGAGAGUAUCAGGUCAGAGGUACAGGAGCCUGAAGAUGCACACUCAGUGUUUCAGGAACGGCUUCUUCCCCUCUGCCAUCAGAUUUCGGAACAGUCUGAACUCAUGAACACGACCUCAGCUCUCUGAGGUUCACUCAAUGACAAGGAUGAUAUCUCAGUUGAAGGUGAUGGAUCUCUAUGUCCUGUAAUAAAAUAUGGCAACAUCCAAGCUAUUUUGCAAAUUUGGUGAUUGGUGAGACAAAUCUUUUCUACCUUUUGCAUUUUGAAGCCCUUCAAUACUUCUGGCCUUUGGAAGCAACUGAAAAAUAUACUUUACAGUAUAAUAUGGACUAAUGUAAUAGAUUCUUAUGCAAGUGACACUGAAUGUCCUCCAUUAUGUGCUGGUAUGUGUAACGAGUCCUCUGACUACGUAGAUCAAUUCUACAUUCAUUGGCUUUUAACUUAAUCACUACAUCACAAGAUGUCUUUUGCAUAGGCAGCAAUAUGUUAUUUUAAAAUGAUACUUGUCACCAAAAAGAGCUGCUCAAAUUGCCUAGGCUGCACCAAAUAUAUAAUGCAGCACAAGUUCCCUGAAGCAAAGUCAGGAACUGAUUCAUUUAGUACUGAAGUAUUCUCAAGGUCGCUGACUGCUUAAAAAUAUCACUACAAAUGGAUUGGAUCCAGCGAAAAAUAGUCACAGAGACAUUAAAUACGAUAGCGAGCUUUUCUUUUGUUUCUGUUCUUUGAAUAAAUCCAUCACACACUAACCCCAACUCCUGAGGCGUUCCAUGGUCAUUUCCAACAUACCCCUCCCAUUUCACUACCAAACUCUCAAAGGAAAUCUCAUCAAGGAACCAGUUUCCAAGGACACUACCUGCUGAUCCCUCUCCUGUAUCUCACCAAAGUUAUGAUUUUUUAACCACAGAAUAGUUAAAGUCAUGUCAAGUCAAGUCACUUUUAUUGUCAUUUCGAUCAUAACUGCUGGUACAGUACAUAGUAAAAAUGAGACAAAGUUUUUCAGGACCAUGGUGCUACAUGACACAUUAUAAAAACUAGGCUGAAUUCCGUAAAAAAAACAACACUGAGAAAAAAAAAACAUACUAGACUGCGACCUACCGAAGAUUGAGGUCUCCCAGUCAGGAAGACUAGGAUCCAGUUGCAGAGGGAGGUGUUCAGGCCCAGUAGGCUCAGCUUUCCAAUCAGUUUCUGAGAGAUGAUUGUGUUGAAUGCUGAACUGAAGUCUAUGAACAGCAUCCGAACGUUUGUGUCUUUUUUGUCCAGGUGAGUUAGGGCCAGGUGGAAGGUGAUGGGAAUGGCGUCAUCUGUUGAGCGGUUGGGACAGUACGCAAACUGCAGGGGUCCAGUGAGGGGGGCAGCAGGGUCUUGAUAUGCCUCAUGACGAGCCUCUCGAAGCACUUCAUGAUGAUGGAUGUGAGUGCAACGGGACGGUAGUCAUUUUGGCAGGACACUGAAGACUUCUUCGGCACAGGGACAAUGGUGGCGGCCUUGAAGCACGUUGGAACGGUGGCGCUGCUCAGGGAGAUGUUGAAGAUGUCAGUGAGAACAUCUGCUAGCUGGUCUGCACAUCCUCUGAGCAUGCAACAGGCCAAACAAAAUCUGUAGAAAAUUAUGAUUUUCUCUCCUGGUUCUUUUAGAUUUGUUUAUCACCACCCUUAAUCUACCACUCAUUCAACUGGUGUCAUCAUUAUUACUGUCAUUCAAUCUCUCUUUGCUCUCUACCUAUCAUGGACUUCCCAUUUUAUUCACUUUACUCCUUCCUCUGGAACAUAAAUUUUGACUCUAAAUUUUCCCAUUUCAGAUAGAUUGUUGAUCUGAAAUGUUAACUAUCCUCUCUGCAUUUUCAAUUUUAUUUCAGGUUCUCAUUGUUUAAUGUAUUUUACUUCUGAAUUAUUAUUACUGUACUCCAAAUCAAAUCUGACCUCAUGACCUCAGGUGUCCAUUGCCCCUUCUGGUCAAGCAACCUGCGCAAGAGUGUCGUGAGUCGGGCAGAUCCUAGUUACCCAGACUUCAGCAACUCAACUUAUGUGUUGCAGGUGAGUCAGCCCCAUGGGAUUGUCUUAUGACUUGGUGAUAAGUAGGACCCAGCUGGAAAAAAAUCAUCAUGACAUCCAUUAAAAGUUGGUUUAAAUUAAACUUUUAAUUGGAAGUCAUGUUAAAUUCUUCCUCAGCAGGCCAGGCAGUAGCUAUGGAAAGGAGUAAACAGUCAACGGUUUUGGGUAAAGAUCCUUCAUUAGGACUGGAAAGGAAGAGUAAGAAGAUGUGGGGAGGGGAGGAAGAAUUUCAAGGUGGUAGGUGAUAGGCAAAACUGGGAAAGAGAGAGGGGGGCAAAGUAAAGAGCUGGGAAGUUGAUUGGUGAAAGAGAUAAAGCCUGGAGAAGGGAGAAUCUGAUAGGAGAGGAUAGAAGACCAUGGUAGAAAUAGAAGGAGGAGGAGCACCAGAGGGAGGUGAUGGCAGGCAAGGAGAUAAGGUGAGAGAGGAAAACAGAAGUAAGGAACAGUGAAGGGGAGGGGGGCAAUUACUGGAAGUUCAAGAAAUUGAUGUUCAUAAGUGAUGUACAGGAAUGAGAUAUGCCAACGAAUGGAAUGGUGCUGCAGCAACAACCUGGCACUCAACGUCAAUAAAGCAAAAUAGUUGAUUGUGGACUUCAGGAAGGGUAAGAUGAAGGAGCACAUACCAAUCCUCAUAGUGGGAUCAGAAGUGGAGAGAGUGAAGAGCUUGAAGUUCCUCAGUGUCAAUAUCUCUGAGGAUCUAACCUGGUCCCAAUAUAUCGAUAUAGUCAUAAAGAAGGCAAGACAACAGCUAUACUUUAUCAGGAGUUUGAAGAGAUUUGACAUCUCAACAAAUACACUCAAAAACUUCUAUAGUUGUACCAUGGAGAGCAUUCUGACAGGCUGCAUGGAGGAGCUACUGCACAGAACCGAGAGAAGCUGCAGAAGGUUGUAAAUCUAGUCAGCUCCAUCUUGGUACUAGCCUACAAAGUACCCAGGACACCUUCCAGGAGCGGUGACUCAGAAAGGCAGCAUCCAUUAUUAAGGACCUCCAGCACCCAGGGCAUGCCCUUUUCUCACUGUUACCAUCAGAUAGGAGAUACAGAAGCAUGAAGACACACACUCAGCGAUUCAGAAACAGCUUUUUCACCUCUGCCAUCCGAUUCCUGAAUGGACAUUGAAGCUUUGAACACUUCUUUUAAAUAUGCAGUUUUUCUGUUUUUGCACAUUUUAAAAAAUCUAUUCAAUAUACGUAAUUGAUUUACUUGUUCAUUUAUUAAUAUGUUUUAUUUGACAGACAGACGGACAGACAUACUUAAUUGAUCUGAAGGAAAUUUAGUUACUAUUACUAUUUUUUCUCUCUC